rnacentral:rRNA from 1 species
AAAUCUUACCGGGUCCGGACACACUGAGGAUUGACAGGCAAUAUUAAUACGUUUUGCUUCGGUAAACGCGUAUUAUGUUAAAUAUGCUAGUCCUUUCAUGAUUAUGUGAUAGGUGGUGCAUGGCCGUUCUUAGUUCGUGGAGUGAUCUGUCUGCUUAAUUGCGUUUCACUAAGGGCCUAUAAAUUUACGUGUGUUGCAUCGCACUUUGACCCCUUUCUUUAAUUAGAGAGCGCGUGUCUUAGUUUUCGCUUUGCUCAUACAAUUAGGUCCUGAAAGCAACGAACGUGACCGCAACCUCUUGUUGCCUUUAUACCAAACAUGUUUUGCGUCAAUUUUUACGAAUUGCGCGCAUUUCAUGAAAAAAGGCUUUUUAAACUAGAGGGACCGCUGUUACUUUCUUAAACCAGAGGAAGGUUGCGGCAAUAA